rnacentral:rRNA from 1 species
CUACGGGACGCUCCAGUGGGGAAUAUUGCACAAUGGAGGAAACUCUGAUGCAGCAACGCCGCGUGGAGGAUGACACUUUUCGGAGCGUAAACUCCUUUUAUAUAGGAAGAUAAUGACGGUACUAUAUGAAUAAGCACCGGCUAACUCCGUGCCAGCAGCCGCGGUAAUACGGAGGGUGCAAGCGUUACUCGGAAUCACUGGGCGUAAAGAGCGUGUAGGAGGGUUAAUAAGUCAGAAGUGAAAUCCUAUGGCUCAACCAUAGAACUGCUUUUGAAACUGUUAACCUAGAGUGUGGGAGAGUAGAUGGAAUUUCUGGUGUAGGGGUAAAAUCCGUAGAGAUCAGAAGGAAUACCGAUUGCGAAGGCGAUCUACUGGAACAUAACUGACGCUGAGACGCGAAAGCGUGGGGAGCAAACAGGAUUAGAUACCCCAGUAGUC